GAAUCAGAAGCAAUGCUUGGGGGAAGUGCUACGCACAUUUAAGCAACCAGAUCUCAUGAGAACUCAGUAUCAUGAGGACAGUAUCAAGGGGGUUGGUGCUAAACCAUUCAGGAGAAGUCUAUCCCUAUUAUCUCUUCACCCCCCACCAGGCCCCAACUCCAAUGUUGGGGAUUACAGC